ACAUAUAUAUUUUUCAGCUAAUUUAAUGUGAGUUUUGUGUUUCUUUUUUCAACUUCUCCACCAGACCAAUGUAGCAUUUCUCUUUAGGGGUUUUAAUAGCACAACAAUGGCAAACACACACAGCAGUCAUGUCCAGAGCUCCUUUAAUUUGAAAAGGGUAUUCUUUUAAUCCAAGCAGGAAGGACAUACCAAUCAUAGUUGAGGAGCAACACUCAGAGGUAGGUUGCGGUGGAGGGAUGGUGAUGGUUUCAACUGAGUUAAUUCAUUCACGUCUCCAUUUAGUGAUGGAACCAGGAGGAGGAGGGGACGCAGAGCUGGCUGAAAGAAGGGUGGAUGACACUUUGGUUGAAGGAACACACCAUGAAGACAAAGUCUCCAGGAGAAUCUGGUGGACAAUGGUACCCACAAAACGAGGCAGGGGGGGUGAACUGAAUAAGGACGUGGACAAUGUUCCCUAUGCUAACGUGAUCCUAGCCCGGGACAAAGGAUCACCUUGGCCUCUCGGAGAGUUUCUUUUACCCAUCCUGCAAAGAUUCAUCGAGAUUGUUUGAGUUUCUUGUCUCUGUGACCAAAUAAAGGAGAAAAAUGUCUCAGCG